rnacentral:rRNA from 1 species
UACAGAGGGGGCAAGCGUUGUUCGGAAUUACUGGGCGUAAAGCGUGCGCAGGCGGUUCGUUAAGUUCGGUGUGAAAGCCCCGGGCUCAACCUGGGAAUGGCAAUGGAAACUGGCGAGCUUGAGUGUGGCAGAGGGGGGUGGAAUUCCGCGUGUAGCAGUGAAAUGCGUAGAGAUGCGGAGGAACACCGAUGGCGAAGGCAGCCCCCUGGGCCAACACUGACGCUCAGGCACGAAAGCGUGGGGAGCAAACAGG